ACAAAAUAGCCUAGCGGUGUAUAGUCAAAAACCGACGAUGGAAGAAAUGACAAUCGGCUGCCUUCGCUGAAAUCAAGUUAUGUGGAGGGGUAAACAUGCGCACAAACGGCCCGUUCUCUCCUGAAACAGAUUAUAGACAGUUAAUACUAAAAUAUACGUUAUCACUUAUCAGGUAUACUGCAGCAUAGGUUAUAUAAACAAGAUAUUUCUCGGCACACCGGAGUAGGGAUAAUGAAAAAUCAAAGAUAUCUAUAUCUAUAUUAAAGUUAUAGUAUAGAUAUCUGUGGAAAAGUACAGAAGUCCGUUUUUACGUCUGUCUGCCUCUACAGAUAAUAAAAGUACUUUUAUUAUCUAUGCUCUGCAUUCCAGUAUUUUCUUAUCCACGAUCUUAGAACAACUAAAACCGUGUUCUUAUCUAUCUUAAUGUAAAUAUCAAAUUAUCAAUUAUCAGGGUGAAUUUCAUCUAUUAUGUUUUAGAUAUCCGUUAUAUAUCAAUGAGGGAAUCGAGAGCAAAAUCCAUCAACCAAUCAGUUCGCUUAUAAAUCGAAUAUAUCUUAUCACGCGCGCUUUUAGUUAUUAAGUAUGAACUAUACGUUUGCAUUUAAUUAACAUUUCAUAUUAUUUUCUAUUAUUUUACAAUAUCUUCGUCUUCUUUUAUGUGUUUUAAAUGUAAAAAAGUGUUUGGGUACCGUGGGAAUUUAUUAUCACAUGAAAAAAAAUGUGGUAUAGUAAAUAAUAAUGAAAAUAAAACAGGGAUUAAAUGUCCAGACUAUAAGUGUGGACAAUUAUUAUUCACCGGAUAUAGUUUAUUAAGAAAACACGUCGAAGAUUUCCAUAAAAUUACUAUAAGUAAAGAACGUCAUUACUUCCAAACUCUAAAUGGUACUUGUUAGCUUGAUGUAGUUACAUAAAAAGUGUAAAUAGUGUAUAACUGUUGACUAAAAUAUUUUUUUUUUGUAGAUUUAAAGGAUUGUAAACUAAAAAUUGAAAACCUAUUAUUAUUGUCAUCAUAGUGGUUACUUUAAUAGUAUAUCGUGAGGCGUCAGGCGCAUUAAAAGCCAAGGUAACAAUAAGAUAGGUUCAAGAUGCACGUUAUCAAUGGUAAAUAAUAAAUAAUAAAUAUGGUGAAAUACCAUAAAAUAUAACUGCCUUCCAGUUUCCACUAAUAAUAAAUUUCCUCUAAAAUUAUUUAGAUUGCGACAGAAGAUACAAAUGGAAUCAACGUUGAUUUUAGUAACACACAUUUUGGGCAUGGGUCUAACUAAGGUAGAUGUAGACUAACUGCUGAUGAACGAGCAAAGUUUUAAAACUCCUCCAGCCGCCGGUGUUGAAUGUAAAAUUACUAUGUAAAAUAAUAAUGACCAUUCAUACUAAACUAGUAAUUCUUUACCAAAUAUAGUAAAGUACAUUGUAUUUCAUAUUAUUUUUUAUUAUUAUUAGUUCAUAAGUGUUAUUAGUUUAUUUUUUAAGUCUAUAAUUAAAGACAAAUAGAAAAAAAAAG